CAGCCGCCGCGGUAAUACCGGCGGCCCGAGUGGCGGUCACUAUUAUUGGGCUUAAAGCGUCCGUAGCCGGGUUGGGAAGGCCUCCGGGAAAUCUGGCCGCUUAACGGUCAGAAUGCCGGAGGAUACUCCCAGCCUAGGGAGCGGGAGAGGCCGAGGGGAUUCCCGGAGUAGGGGGGAAAUCCUAUAAUCCCGGGAGGACCACCUGUGGCGAAGGCGCUCGGCUGGAACGCGUCCGACGGUGAGGGACGAAGGCCAGGGGAGCAAACCGGAUUAGAUACCCGGGUAGUCCUGGCUGUAAACGAUGCGGACUUUGUGUCGGACAAGCUAUGAGCUUGUCCGGUGCCGGAGGGAAACCGUUAAGUCCGCCGCCUGGGGAGUACGGCCGCAAGGCUGAAACUUAAAGGAAUUGGCGGG
rnacentral:rRNA from 1 species